GAGUUUGAUCCUGGCUCAGGAUGAACGCUAGCGGCAGGCCUAAUACAUGCAAGUCGAGGGGCAGCACGGGUAGCAAUACUUGGUGGCGACCGGCGCACGGGUGCGUAACACGUAUGCAAUCUACCGUUAACUAAGGGAUAGCCUUCCGAAAGGAAGAUUAAUACCUUAUAACAUUGUGAAGUGGCAUCACUUUAUAAUUAAAGCUCCGGCGGUUAACGAUGAGCAUGCGUUUGAUUAGCUAGUUGGUGAGGUAACGGCUCACCAAGGCGACGAUCAAUAGGGGGGUCUGAGAGGAUGAUCCCCCCACACUGGUACUGAGACACGGACCAGACUCCUACGGGAGGCAGCAGUAAGGAAUAUUGGUCAAUGGAGGCAACUCUGAACCAGCCAUGCCGCGUGCAGGAAUAAGGCCCUAUGGGUCGUAAACUGCUUUUGUGCGGGGAAGAAACCCCUUUUUAGUGUAGAAGGUUGACGGUACCGUAAGAAUAAAGGAUCGGCUAAACUUCGUGCCAGCCGCCGCAGUAAC
rnacentral:rRNA from 1 species